rnacentral:lncRNA from 1 species
GAAACAUGUAGCUCACAUUUCCACUUUCCAGCACCCUAUGAUCACACUCAAAAAGAAUCAGCCUUAGGAUGAAGCUGACCUUCUGGAUGGCAGAAGGAAGAGGAAAGAACCUGGAUUGUAUAUGAUGUAGUUGGUUGACUAGAUCACACAACGCUGAAACCCACCCUGCACCUGGAUUUCCAGUUCUGUGAGACCGAAGCUGACAUGUCAUCCAUCCGCGGGAAGCUGCUCUGGACCUUUGAGAGAAAGGCUCCAUUUAGAUUUAGCAAAACCCUUUCAUUCAGAGUCCUUGCAGAGAAGCACAGCAUAAAUGAGUGGGAAACCAGCUGCCAUGUCGUAAAGAUGCUCAGAUGACCUUCUGGAGAGACAUGUUUAGUGAGGAACUGAGGCUUCCUGCCAAUGGCCAUGUGAGUGAGAGUUUGGAAUGGGAUCUUCCAGGCCUGCCCAGGAUCACUGCAGCCUCAUGAGAAGCCCUGAGGGAGGACCACCCAGGCAAGCCGCGCCCAGAUUCUCGACUCAGAAAUUGCAAAGAUGCCUUGCUGUCUCUCUGGCUCAGCCUUCCCACCAUCACUAAAGCUGCCAGUUAACCAGUCUUUGAGUGUGGCUUCAGGAAGACAGAGCUGCGUGGUGGACUGCUUCUUUGUGGAGCCCACUGCUUCUCCAUGUAACGUUUCAGCACUCUCUGCAGAGAGCACUUACAGCGCCCUGGAGCAGCUGUCCGAAACCGCCUUCACUCUGGCGGCGCAAGCCGGUUCCAGCUCUUCUCCAUUCCAUUCACUUCCUGAGACCAGAGAUCUGGUCUCCAGCCACUGGUUCUCUUCCAGGCUUAGAAAUCAACUUUCCGGGAGUGGAAGAAGAGACUGUCUCUUAGCUUUAAUUAAUUGUUGAAAGAAUAGAGAGGAGUCUAUAGUUCUAGAAGGAAAAAAGGGAGGAAUGGAAAUUUUCUGGACAGGGGACAAAGAAGUAAAAGAAAGAUAAUUUUCCAACUCACUCUCUUCACCCUAGUCUUUAAAAGGUUUUGUUGGGUGUUAUGAGGUUUGAAAUCUAUCUUUAGGGAGGGAUGUGUUACUCAAAAGAAAUUGCCUCUAGAUUGUUUUCCCAAGUCAGUCAUUUAAAAAAUAUUUUAAUGUCAUUCUGCUUAAAUUUUUUAAACAGUGAAGUUUAUCUGCAAAGUACUUCUCAACUCAGGGUAGGAUAGGGGUAAAUUUGAGGUAGUAAGUGUGUUAGAAUCUUGAGGUAGGUUUCCUUUGAAAAAAACAAGUAGGUAUCAUUUUUAUUGGGAAAAUGAAAAAAUGCGUAAGUUUUCACAUUACAAACUGAGGAGAGUUUGAAAAAACAUCUGAUGAGGUUAUGCAGAAGACACAGGGAUUCAUGAUUGGGACACAUCCCUUCAAAACCUUGGAGGAACAGGAGAUUUUCCUGGUUAUCAAAUAGGGGGAUGAGUUUUAGAAGGCUGAAAAGCAUUUAGAAGAAUGUUGCGUUUCCUAAAAAGGCAGAAUGAGGAAGCUGGUAGACGAUUCCAGAACAUUCUGUGGGUCUCAUGAAGAGAAGAUUCAGGGAAGGGCAGG